GAAACAAAUCCUCCUUCCCCAUUGCCGCCCCACCAAAACAGCUGUGGGCCAAAAAGGAAGGUUGGGGGAGGGAAGCUUUAUUAAGAAUUUAUC